AGAGCUGCAGUGGCGCUGUGGUUAGAGUGCAGUACUGCAGGCUACUUCUGCUGACUGCUGGCUGCCUGCAAUUUGGCAAAUCGAAUCUCACCAGUCUCAAGAUUGAUUCAGCCUUCCAUCCUUCCCAGCGCACUUAGGCUGAUGGUUGAAGAAGAAAGAGAAGAUGAGGAAAAAGAAAAGAGCUCAUUGUUUCCAAUGCAGUGGACAAAUUUCAAAGGGAAGAGUUCUUUGGAAUAUGAGAUACAUGGAAUGAAGAAGCCCAAGAGAAUGCUUGAUGUGUUCCAGUGCAUAAUUUGAAAGUUGAAGAGAACUCAGCUUCUGGGUGGUCUGUUCAAUGGAAAAAUAGAAUGGCCUGUUGUAAAUCAGGUGAAAUAAUAAACAUACGCUUCCCACUUUAUUGUGAUUAUUAUUGCUAUUAUGCCAAGGAAAAAUUAGUAUAAUGAAAAAAAUCAAUAAACUACAAUACUUUGAAUUGUGUCCGUCCUAAUUAUGUCUCAUCCCAAUUAUAGCUGCUGAAUAUUUUGGAGUAGGGUUGGAAAAAGUGUGGCCCUCCAGAUGUUGAAUUGCAAUUCCCAUCCUCUCUCAUAAUUACACAUCGAGUUUGUUAAGGCUGAUUGGAGUUGGCCUUUCAUACUUUAAUAAUCACUCGUUGCAUGUUCCUAUUAUCAACAUAGCUUUUGAAUUUCAGAAUCAUCAAAGACAGCCCAGUGAUUAUAUUAUUAUAGUUGACUAAUGGAGAAGUCACCAGGAUAAUAGAGGAUGCUUAUCUAUGAGGACUAGUUCAAAACUAGUUUGGAGUCUUUGUGGUUGCAGAACA